GGAAAAAUAAAAUGGGAAUGGAAACAGUUCAAGUGAGCCUAGUACUCUACUUGACUCAAUAGUGAAAAGUAUUUACAUAAUGAACAAUGAAUAGUGAUUUAAUAAAAACAAUUGUGAAGGAAUGGGGGAAGAAGAAAGGACUGUAAGAAGGCGGAGGUCACAUUACUAGGAAAAAUCAGAGGCUGGAACUAGAAGCCAAGCUGUCAGAUGUGGGUCCCACCGUGUUUAUCUGGAGGAAAGUGUGCCCAGUUGGCAGCAUAGUCUGUCUGGCCAAGGAGAUUGCUGGCUUUGUUUUUCUGAACGUCCAGAACAGUGCCUGAUAUCCACCCCAAA
rnacentral:lncRNA from 1 species